GGGCACGUGGUCUAACGGUAAGGCGCCGGCUACUGUGAAAGUAGGACCUCGGGGAUUCCUCGGAGGCGAGCGUAACGCCACUGAUUUCAACGUCGUUAUCGUCUUCCGGAGAUGCGGGUUCGAGCCUCGCCGUGUCCA